CAGUAGGGCGCGAGGUAAAAUGAUGCGGGUCUAUACAUGCAAGUCGAGCGGACAGAUGGGAGCUUGCUCCCUGAUGUUAGCGGCGGACGGGUGAGUAACACGUGGGUAACCUGCCUGUAAGACUGGGAUAACUCCGGGAAACCGGGGCUAAUACCGGAUGCUUGUUUGAACCGCAUGGUUCAAAUAUAAAAGGUGGCUUCGGCUACCACUUACAGAUGGACCCGCGGCGCAUUAGCUAGUUGGUGAGGUAACGGCUCACCAAGGCAACGAUGCGUAGCCGACCUGAGAGGGUGAUCGGCCACACUGGGACUGAGACACGGCCCAGACUCCUACGGGAGGCAGCAGUAGGGAAUCUUCCGCAAUGGACGAAAGUCUGACGGAGCAACGCCGCGUGAGUGAUGAAGGUUUUCGGAUCGUAAAGCUCUGUUGUUAGGGAAGAACAAGUACCGUUCGAAUAGGGCGGUACCUUGACGGUACCUAACCAGAAAGCCACGGCUAACUACGUGCCAGCAGCCGCGGUAAUACGUAGGUGGCAAGCGUUGUCCGGAAUUAUUGGGCGUAAAGGGCUCGCAGGCGGUUUCUUAAGUCUGAUGUGAAAGCCCCCGGCUCAACCGGGGAGGGUCAUUGGGAAACUGGGGAACUUGAGUGCAGAAGAGGGAGAGUGGAAAUUCCACGUGUAGCGGUGAAAUGCGUAGAGAUGUGGGAGGAACACCGAGUGGGCGAAGCGACUCUCUGGUCUGUAACUGACGCUGAGGAGCGAAAGCGUGGGGAGCGAACAGGAUUAGAUACCCUGGUAGUCCACGCCGUAACGAUGAGUGCUAGUGUUAGGGGGUUUCCGCCCCCUUAGUGCUGCAGCUAACGCAUAAGCACUCCGCCUGGGGGAGUACGGUCGCAGGACUGAUACUCAAAGGAAUUGACGGGGCCCGCACAAGCGGUGGAGCAUGGUGGUUAGUCCGAAGCACGCGAAGAACUACAGUCUGACAUCUCUGACAUCUAGAGAAUAGACGUCCCAUCGGGGCGGAGUGACCGUGUGCAUGCUGUUCGUCACUUCGUUAUGGAAAUGUUAGUUAAGUCCCGCCACGAGCACAUGAUCAUAGUUGGCAGCAUCA
rnacentral:rRNA from 1 species